rnacentral:piRNA from 1 species
UAAUAACUGAACUAUGAUGGGUGGC